rnacentral:lncRNA from 1 species
UGAGGGCAGAAGGAACUUAACAUAAAUCUGGGGAGAGGGAUACUUGGCUGCAGGGCCAGCCUGGGGUAAGCAGAAAGGCUGGCAUGUCCCAAAGCCCAGGGAAAGGCAUAACCCUACAAAAGGGCAAGGAGCACAUUGGAGGUAAUGGGAGACAUGGACAGAUGACGUGAGGCUGGAGGGCUAGGGGGGAGUUCACAAUUGAUGGCCGAGGUGUUUAUCAGUGAACUAAGAGUGGAUGUUGUCAACUGAUAGGGACGAGAGUUUGAGGGUAAUGAUAAACUCUGGGAAUUGGGGGAAAAGGGCCAGCAUGAAUUAGCAAAACUGACUGGUAGGCAGCAGCAGAGGGGGCCCUGCCCUGCUGAGCUGUGAACUAUACAUUUGUGAUGGAAGAAACUGGUAGUUAUGCAUUUUUCUCUUAGCAGAGCUACAGUAUAAGGCUUGAGAAAAUGAAAGGUUCCACUGUUCCAAGGCUGGAGACCAGCAAGGCAAGCCCAGCAUAAAGAAAAGGGAACCAAGGGUUUUAAACAGAUUGACCAUGAGGUAGAGAAAAACAUGAUAUGUAACCGAAGGGCUUCAAGUUGGGAUGAGCAGCCAUAACAUGUUUCCAGAGAAGGGAGUGGUGGGAAGCCAAGGCGGGGGAUCCACAGGUCUGGAUUUUGGCCCUCGCCCACUGAAUGCAAGUACAGAGAAACAAGAAGGCUAAAGAGGAACGGGUGGAGCAGAUACAGUGCCAAGAGACAGGGUUCCGUGAGGAGCCAGACAUGGUGAACACAGAGGAGCAGAAGCCCCAGGACAUUUCUGAGGGAAGAGGUUCCAAAGGAAGCUGGAGAUGACCUAGAGCCUUUGGCUUCUCCGCCUAACAUCCGCUUGGGCAGGGAAGGGGAGAGAAGGAGAACACGAAGUGAGGCAUGGGAAUGAGACAAUGGUGGGAAAAGAGGACGCUGGAAGGAAGAUCUACUCUUCCAGUCUGCAGGUGGCCCCCGAGGAGCCGCAGUAGGUCAUGGUAGGGGAGAAUUACAGGCGGGGAAAGUGCAAAGCUG